rnacentral:rRNA from 1 species
GUCUAUCACCUUACCACCCUGAAUGCACUGGAUCUCAUCUGAUCUUAGAAGUUAAGCUGCAUGGGUCCUGGUUAAUACUUGGAUGGGAGAAAACAACAGAAAUAAUGGUUAUAUAAACA